CAGAUUCAAUUCCCAAGUUUACUGCCAAUUUUUACAAGACACUUUCUUCAAGCAGUGGUACAGGAAAAAGUCUCCAUCUUUUAAGAAGACCAUGAUUUUUAUGCAGGACAAUGUUCCAUCACAUGUAUCAAAGUACUCCACUG